CCUACGGGAGGCCGCAGUGGGGAAUAUUGCGCAAUGGGCGAAAGCCUGACGCAGCGACGCCGCGUGAGGGAUGAAGGUCUUCGGAUCGUAAACCUCUGUCAGCAGGGAAGAACGGUCACUGUGCUAAUCAGCAGUGAAUUGACGGUACCUGCAAAGGAAGCACCGGCUAACUCCGUGCCAGCAGCCGCGGUAAUACGGAGGGUGCGAGCGUUAAUCGGAAUUACUGGGCGUAAAGCGCUCGUAGGCGGUAUGUCAAGUCAAGGGUGAAAUCCCCGCGCGCAACGUGGGAACUGCCUUUGAAACUGGCAAAGUGGAGUGUGUGAGAGGAUAGUGGAAUUCCAGAUGUAGGAGUGAAAUGCGUAGACAUCUGGAGGAACAUCAGUGGCGAAGGCGACUAUCUGGCACAUAACUGACGCUGAGGAGCGAAAGCGUGGGUAGCAAACAGGAUUAGAUACCCCAGUAGUC
rnacentral:rRNA from 1 species